AAGUUGCUGCUGUACAAAAAGCUAAUUCUGAAUUGCUUGAGAAAUACAAAACAGCUAGCAAUACUAAUGAUGGAUAUCCUGGUCAGAUUAGCAGAGAUAGACUCCUUAAAAAAAUUGAAACUCUGGAGGAUGAGCUGCAAAGAAAAAGUAUUAAAAUAAAACAACUCACUAAACUGAACAUGCAACUCCAAGAAGGCAUACCUGUACUGAUAGAUGCUUCAGUAAAGAAGUAUGUUCAAAAACAUCUACCAAGUAAAGUCAGGCCUACAGAAACUUCACCAGAACAAGCAGCAAAUCAGUUGCAUCCAGUUGCCAAGUCUGCAACACAUGCAGAGAUUUCAUGCAACAGGGAUAGUAAGAUAGAUGGCUUAUUGAAUCCAAUAGCCCAGCAAGAGGCAAGACAGGCCAGUGACUAUAAAUAAAAUGACAAGAAAUCUGAUGGGGGCAAUGUUCUCAAAAGAACAAUUAACAGAGUCCUCAGUCACUGGCAAAAAAGGCAUCCAAUGCAAUGACGUCAGGCAGGCACUGGAUUCUUCGAAAGUUAGGCUGAUAAUAGAUCAUGUGAAAACCAGGUUCCCUCAUACUGAUGAUACAACCAUCAAAGCCUGCAUGGCUCAAAAGUUGAGGGAUGAAAGGACAUUAAAAAAAAGCUGCAAGAUAAAAUGGAAUCUUGUAAGA